rnacentral:sRNA from 1 species
AAGAAAAGAAAAAAAAAAUUCCUGACCGCCAGUGAUUAGGACUUUGGUUUAUGUGAAUUGUAUCUAUCUAUCACCACUCACCAAAUUAGAGACUAAACCAAUAUAUUUUGAAAUAUUUGUGUUUACCAGGCAGGAUGACUCACACCUGUAAUGCUAACCCUUAGCUGAAGUGAGCAGAUAAUAGCCAUGAACGCGAAGUCGGUCUUAGCUACAUAGCAGGCUAUAAGGCUCCAUGAGACCAAGAAAUAUUCUCUGUGCCAGGUAAACCUGACAGCUUCUGCCGACACUGUCUAGGCACCACGUCAACUCAGUGAAGAGGGGGUUUAAAUGUUGACUUACAACGCUGAAGUCUUCAUGCCAGAGAGUUACAUUGUCAAAUUUUGAAUACAAGGAUAAAAUAUGCCCAGUUGUCUGGGGUUGGAAAGCAAGCUACCAUUGCUACAGAAUAGCAUAUGACAGGACUCUCUGCUGUGACAGAAAUAUUCCGGAUCUGUUUCAUUCACUAUGGUAACUGCUGGCUGAGUGUGGCUACUGGACACUUAACAUGUGAUCGGCUUAUGUGAGGAGCUGAACAUUAAUAUUACUGAAAUCUACAGCUAGCUUUGAAUAGUCACGCACGGGCAGAAUAGAGGGCGAUCAGCCAGUGAUCUCAGUGAUCUUAAUCGGAGAAGGAGUCCCCUCCCUCAGGCCUAAGCUGUCUCUGGUCACUGACCCUGCAGAAGUCUACAAGCCUUUAAGUAUCAUCGCUGAAAUAAAGGAUUGAUAGAUGCCCAGCCCAUGGCACAGGAGCAUGGAUCUCACUCAGAUUGGUCAGGAGAGAAGGGCAAGACCUCCAUUCAGCUUUGGACCAUUGUUCUGUGUGGAGAACUUCAUUUUCAGUGGCCGUAAGGCUGGAGGAGUAAAGGGAGGUUUCUAUAAAGGGUAUCCCUGACUCCCGAGAUGGUUAUAGUUUCCCAGAGAGACAAGAUUCUCAUGUGGUAGGCUAUUAACGUCAACAUCACCCCCUCUGGUCCAGAACCCGCCUCUGCUGUCCUUCCAGCUUCCUGUGUUCUUGGGAACCCGCAAUUGACUUUUAUUUUCUCUGUUAACCCACAAACUCCAUUCUGUCCACUCUGACACAGCACCUCAAAUACUGCAAAAUACCAUUUGUUUGGAGGUAAAGGGUGAAGUCAAAGGCGGCCAUGAUAAUCCU